UCCGCUGAGUGCGCCAUCUUGGGUCUUAGAGAAUGCAGCUGUGGAAAGACUGGACCAGGUGGCAUGUUAAGCAAGAAAAAAAUGUGUGGAAUAUGUUGCAUAGUAAAAGCAAGUAGUAAUGCCAAAAGUCGUUGUGUUGGCGUUGAGUUUGCGGCCAAAGAGUUUUUACAUUCUAGUCAAUUACCAACUACAUGGCCAGACAAAGAUUAUAAUGGGCGUAAGUAUUUUUUAUAUGCUUUUCU
rnacentral:misc_RNA from 1 species